UGUUUUUUUUUUUUUUAAUCUAAUAAUACUAUUGAGGGAAAUCGGUUCAACAUUUGUUGUUUAGUGAGUUGCCUUUGUUUCUUUUAGGCCCCAGAGCAGAAAGCCUGGCAUUCUGAGUUUCUUCCCCCAGAAAGAGAAGGCUGUGCUACCACCCCGCCCUCACCCCAGAGUAAUCAGUGGCUCCCCAGGCCCCACCGGCAUCUGGGACUCAUGACAUUCAGAACUGGAUCCCACAACUAAACUGAAGUUUUCUCCAUCUCCAAGACUGUAUUCCCAGCUUCACCAUGGUCUCUUCCUUCUAACCACCACCAGCAGCAAAUAGGAAAAGUGGAGGCCCAGAGAGGUCAAGCUAACAUCCCCGGAGGUCACAGAACAUCAGUUGCAGAAUUAGAACUUAGGAGUCCCUGGUGCCCCUUGGUGGAGUUGCAGCCAGAGCUCCCCCUCUUGUCCUGGAGACCCCCCUUGGGGUGUGAGUAAGCUGGCCCUGAGGACCUGAAGCCCUGGUGUCAGUGAAGAAGCUGGGACCAGGAAUCCCCUCUGGGCCCACCCUGCCUGGGUGGACAAGCUGGAAGGGGAUCCUCCGUGUACAGGGAGGUGGCAGCUGCCGGUGGAUUGGGGGGAGAGAUAUUUUUAGAGGUGGCUGGAAAGCAGGCAUCCUGGCACACCCCCAGCUGGCGGGUGCUUCGCUCCAAUGCGGGGCAGUGGGGGGGGGGGGGUGCGCAGCUCGGGGAGCCCAGGGGACUGGUGGGUGGCGGGGACCAAGGGGGCACAGAUCCUUCGCUUUGCCUGAGUCAGGGACAGAGGGAUAUCCCGGUACCUCGUUCCUGGGGUAGGAGAAAGGAGGAAGGCUCAUUUCUCCGCUCCAGUGACUCCCCCACUGACACCCGUGAAGGAGCGCCCUCAAACUCCACACAGCCCCCACCCCACACUGGGACCCCAGCCCUCCCCUACCUCGGGGAGCCCAGGACUCACGUGGGGAGCGGCGGCGGCAGAGGUCUGUCCCGGCUUAGUUUGGAGUGUAAAGUGAGGAGAUGGGCUAGCUGAGGUAUUUGGGCGCAGGAUGGGGCAAGGGGUGCUUACGGGAAUUGGAGGGGACGCGGUGUCUUAUCCACCCCCGGAUUUCUAGGCUCCGGCUCACGAGUCCCUCCAGUUCCGAGGGGCCGUGGAUGAUGUGCGUCUGGGCCGUCCCCUCCACCUGCCCCCCAUCCCCCCGGGCCGCCGCCGCGUCCCCUUUAAAUGCCGGGGAGCCGGAGCCCGAGCCGCGGCCGGCGCUGCGGCUGCCGCAGCACCCGGGCCCACCGCAGUCCCCCCACGUCACAAGCGACUGUCCAAUCACAGCGGCGCCGGCUCACAUCAAAGGGGCGGGCCGCCAGCGGGACACGCCUCCAGGCCGCCCCGCAGGCAACCCGAGCGCUAGCGAAGGUGGGGUUGCGCGCAGGGAGAGAGGGGAGGAGAGGGGAGAUGGAGCGCAUCCCUCCGGAGGAGCGUGGGUGGGGGGCACCCUUGCUGGAGCGGCUGCGGGGCUCUGCGUGAGUCCCCGCCCACACACCCAGAAGUGUCAGGGCUGUGCCUUCAGGGCGCCGAGCCCUGAAAUUUGCAGAAAUGCACUCCUACCGCCAGCCCCCAUUCCCUUCUUCGCUCCUAAGCCAAGCGGUAGGCACCGUUGGACCCAGACCAGGGAAAGCAGUGCCUCCCCCCACGUACGCCUGGCUCGGCCCUCCGCGCGGAGUCGCGGCACCUCAUCUCUUGGGACCCUUCCUCGCUUACGGGUUACAGGGGAUCGCCGGGGAAGGGGCCCUUCCACACCCCACCCCGUAAACACUGAUUUAAGGACCCAACUGUUUGCCCUUUGUAAGUGGUGUUUUAAAUAAACCCACUUUCUCUUCUGCUUCGUAA